AUUGGUGUCCAGGUGUGUGGAUGGGUAGGGGAGCGUCGUGCAGCGUGUGAAGCAGCAGAGUGAUCUAGUUGUGGAUGCUGCACGAGUGAGAAUGCAGGCAUGAGUAGCGAAUGACGGGUGAGAAACCCGUCCGCCGAAUGAUCAAGGGUUCCAGGGUCAAGCUAAUCUGCCCUGGGUAAGUCGGGACCUAAGGCGAGGCCGACAGGCGUAGUCGAUGGACAACGGGUUGAUAUUCCCGUACCGGCAUUAACACGACCCGACCGAGGUCACUGAUGCUAAAACCGAGAAGCUAGGCGGCCUUCGGGCCAAGUAGUGGAUCUGUUGACCCGAGGUGGUAUUAGGUGCACUAAGGAGUGACGCAGGAGGGCAGUCCAUCCGCGGCGAUGGUAGGCGCAAGCUGAUCCGCGGGCAAGGUGGUAGGGCGAGGCAUAGGCAAAUCCGUGUCUCACAUAGCCUGAGAACCGAGGCGGACCCGUUCAGGGGAAGUGGAUAUCCCAUGCUGCCAAGAAAAACUUCGUAGUGAGUGUUAGAGCCGCCCGUACCCCAAACCGACACAGGUGAUCAGGUAGAGAAUACCAAGGCGAUCGAGUGAACCAUGGUUAAGGAACUCGGCAAAAUGCCCCCGUAACUUCGGGAGAAGGGGGGCCGGAUGCGUUACCUCACUUGCUGGGGGAAGCGUUGAUGGCCGCAGAGACCAGGCCCAAGCGACUGUUUACUAAAAACACAGGUCCGUGCGAAGAAGUAAUUCGAUGUAUACGGACUGACGCCUGCCCGGUGCUGGAACGUUAAGGGGACAGGUUAGCUGGUUUAGGCCGGCGAAGCUUUGAACUUAAGCGCCAGUAAACGGCGGUGGUAACUAUAACCAUCCUAAGGUAGCGAAAUUCCUUGUCGGGUAAGUUCCGACCUGCACGAAUGGCGUAACGACUUGGGCGCUGUCUCAACCAUGGACUCGGCGAAAUUGCAUUACUAGUAAAGAUGCUCGUUACGCGCAGCAGGACGGAAAGACCCCGGGACCUUUACUACAACUUGGUAUUGGUGGUCGGUACAACUUGUGUAGGAUAGGUGGGAGACUGUGAAAUCCGGACGCCAGUUCGGGUGGAGUCAUCGAUGAAAUACCACUCUGGUUGUUCUGGCUGUCUAACUUCGGUCCAUUAUCUGGAUCAGGGACAGUGCCUGGUGGGUAGUUUGACUGGGGCGGUCGCCUCCUAAAAGGUAACGGAGGCGCUCAAAGGUUCCCUCAGCCUGGUUGGCAAUCAGGUGUCGAGUGUAAGUGCACAAGGGAGCUUGACUGUGAGACAGACAUGUCGAGCAGGGACGAAAGUCGGAACUAGUGAUCCGGCGGUGGCAUGUGGGAGCACCGUCGCUCAACGGAUAAAAGGUACCCCGGGGAUAACAGGCUGAUCUUCCCCAAGAGUCCAUAUCGACGGGAUGGUUUGGCACCCC
rnacentral:rRNA from 1 species